GUACUACUCUCAGAGUUUGAUCCUGGCUCAGGAUGAACGCUAGCUACAGGCUUAACACAUGCAAGUCGAGGGGCAGCACUAGGUAGCAAUACUGAGGUGGCGACCGGCGCACGGGUGCGUAACGCGUAUCCAACCUUCCCGUUACUCAGGGAUAGCCUUCCGAAAGGGAGAUUAAUACCUGAUGGUGUUUGAAUUCCGCAUGUUAUUCAAACUAAAGAUUUAUCGGUAACGGAUGGGGAUGCGUGACAUUAGAUAGUAGGCGGGGUAACGGCCCACCUAGUCUACGAUGUCUAGGGGUUCUGAGAGGAAGGUCCCCCACACUGGAACUGAGACACGGUCCAG
rnacentral:rRNA from 1 species